rnacentral:tRNA from 1 species
AAAGAAUUAGCUUAAUGGUAAAGCAAUAUUAUUUUAUAAUGUUAUAAAAGUUCGAAUCUUUUAUUCUUUA